AGACGGAGGGAGCAAGCGUUGCUCGGAAUUACUGGGCGUAAAGGGUGCGUAGGUGGCUAUCUAAGUCGUAUGUGAAAUCCCCGGGCUUAACCUGGGAACUGCAUGCGAUACUGGAUGGCUCGAGUAAGGUAGAGGGAAGUGGAAUUUCCGGUGUAGCGGUGAAAUGCGUAGAUAUCGGAAGGAACACCAGUGGCGAAGGCGGCUUCCUGGACCUAUACUGACACUGAGGCACGAAAGCGUGGGGAGCAAACUGGAUUAGAAACCCCAGUAGUCC
rnacentral:rRNA from 1 species